CCGGUCCCCAGAGGUAUUGCAGGUGGGGCUGCUGUGUCACGUGUGUGUCAGUAGGUGGCAGAAAGGAGAGACGCUAUGUCUCUGCUCAGUUAACAUCCAAAUGAUUUUCCUNN
rnacentral:snoRNA from 1 species